rnacentral:misc_RNA from 1 species
GAUGAAGAACGCAGCGAAAUGCGAUAAGUAAUGUGAAUUGCAGAAUUCAGUGAAUCAUCGAAUCUUUGAACGCACAUUGCGCCCGCCAGUAUUCUGGCGGGCAUGCCUGUCCGAGCGUCAUUUCAACCCUCGAACCCCUCCGGGGGGUCGGCGUUGGGGACCUCGGGAGCCCCUAAGACGGGAUCCCGGCCCCGAAAUACAGUGGCGGUCUCGCCGCAGCCUCUCCUGCGCAGUAGUUUGCACAACUCGCACCGGGAGCGCGGCGCGUCCACGUCCGUAAAACACCCAACUUCUGAAAUGUUGACCUCGGAUCAGGUAGGAAUACCCGCUGAACUUAAGCAUAUCAAUAAGCGGAGA